AGUUGCUGUUAUUGUGACUGUCGGGCCACGGCCCCGGAUGUUGUGGCUGCCGGGGGGAGAUGGCGGAGGCCGAAGGGGUGCCCACGACCCCAGGCCCGGCUUCGGGGUCGACUUUCAGGGGCCGCCGAGAUGUGUCAGGCUCCUGGGAGCGGGACCAGCAGGUUGAGGCGGCGCAGCGGGCCCUGGUGGAGGUGCUGGGGCCUUACGAGCCUCUGCUGAGUCGGUUGCAGGCAGCCCUGGUGUGGGAGCGGCCAGCCAGGAGCGCUCUGUGGUGCCUGGGGCUGAACGCGGCUUUCUGGUUUUUUGCCCUGACAUCCCUUCGUCUUGUGUUUUUACUUGCAUUUGGCUUGAUGAUCAUUGUGUGUAUUGAUCAAUGGAAAAACAAAAUCUGGCCUGAAAUAAAAGUGCCAAGACCCGACGCAUUAGACAAUGAGAGGUAUGGAACACUAAUUAAAUCCCUUUUUGUUGCUCUGAUUCAUUCUCUUGUAAUAUUCUGGUUACGUGUUGUUAACCCCGUGUUCUGGACACACAGUGUAAGCUGGGAACCUAGGCUGUUCCAAAUGAUCAUUUUAACA
rnacentral:sRNA from 1 species